rnacentral:rRNA from 1 species
AUGAAUCUGGUCUUGGGACACUGUCAGGUGGGCAGUUUGACUGGGGCGGUCGCCUCCCAAAAGGUAACGGAGGCGCUCAAAGGUUCUCUCAGUACGGUCGGAAAUCGUACGUAGAGUGUAAAGGCAACAGAGAGCUUGAUUGCAAGACAUACAGGUCGAGCAAGGAUGAAAAUCGGACUUAGUGAUCCGGUGGUUCUGCGUGGAAGGGCCAUCGCUCAACGGAUAAAAGCUACCCUGGGGAUAACAGGCUUAUCUCCCCCAAGAGUCCACAUCGACGGGGAGG